GAUGAACGCUGGCGGCGUGCCUAAUACAUGCGAGUCGAGCGAACGGACGAGAAGCUUGCUUUUCUGAUGUUAGCGGCGGACGGGUGAGUAACACGUGGAUAACCUACCUAUAAGACUGGGAUAACUUCGGGAAACCGGAGCUAAUACCGGAUAAUAUUUUGAACCGCAUGGUUCAAAAGUGAAAGACGGUCUUGCUGUCACUUAUAGAUGGAUCCGCGCUGCAUUAGCUAGUUGGUAAGGUAACGGCUUACCAAGGCAACGAUGCAUAGCCGACCUGAGAGGGUGAUCGGCCACACUGGAACUGAGACACGGUCCAGACUCCUACGGGAGGCAGCAGUAGGGAAUCUUCCGCAAUGGGCGAAAGCCUGACGGAGCAACGCCGCGUGAGUGAUGAAGGUCUUCGGAUCGUAAACCUCUGUUAUUAGGGAAGAACAUAUGUGUAAGUAACUGUGCACAUCUUGACGGUACCUAAUCAGAAAGCCACGGCUAACUACGU
rnacentral:rRNA from 1 species